UACGUAGGGCGCAAGCGUUAUCCGGAAUUAUUGGGCGUAAAGAGCUCGUAGGCGGUUUGUCGCGUCUGCCGUGAAAGUCCGGGGCUCAACCCCGGAUCUGCGGUGGGUACGGGCAGACUAGAGUGAUGUAGGGGAGACUGGAAUUCCUGGUGUAGCGGUGAAAUGCGCAGAUAUCAGGAGGAACACCGAUAGCGAAGGCAGGUCUCUGGGCAUUAACUGACGCUGAGGAGCGAAAGCAUGGGGAGCGAACAGG
rnacentral:rRNA from 1 species